rnacentral:rRNA from 1 species
CCUACGGGGUGCAGCAGUGGGGGAUAUUGCACAAUGGACGGAACCCUGAUGCAGCGACGCCGCGUGGGUGAAGAAGCGCCUCGGCGCGUAAAGCUCUGUUAGUAGGGAAGAAAAUGACGGUACGUGAAGAAGAAGCCCCGGACAACUACGUUCCAGCAGCCGCGGGAAUACGUAGGGGGCCAGCGUAAUCCGGAUUUACUGGGUGUAAAGGGGGCGCAGUCGGCGAUGCAAGUCAGGGGUGAAAGCCCGGGGUCCAACCCCGGGAGUGCUGUUGCAACUGGGUGGCUGGAGUGCAGGAGGGGCAGGCGGAAUUCCUGGUGUAGCGGUGAAAUGCGUAGAUAUCAGGAGGAACACCGGUGGCGAAGGCGGCCUGCUGGACUGCAACUGACGCUGAGGCCCGAAAGCGUGGGGAGCAAACAGGAUUAGAUACCCUAGUAGUC